rnacentral:misc_RNA from 1 species
GAUGAAGAACGUAGUGAAAUGCGAUAAGUAAUGUGAAUUGCAGAAUUCAGUGAAUCAUCGAAUAUUUGAACGCUCAUUGCGGCCCUUGGUAUUCCGAGGGGCAUGCCUGUUCGAGCGUCAUUAUAACCCUCAAGCUCAGCUUGGUGUUGGGGCCUGCUGCACUGGCAGCCCUUAAAAUCAGUGGCGGCGCCAUCUGGCUCUAAGCGUAGUAAUUCUUCUCGCUAUGGAGUCCUGGUGGACGCUUGCCAUCAACCCCCAAUUUUUCUAUGGUUGACCUCGGAUCAGGUAGGGAUACCCGCUGAACUUAAGCAUAUCAAUAAGCGGAGGA